CAGAAGGCUGCCAAAACGGGGAAGACUGGAGAUGCUCUGGCCAGCAUUUUAAAACUUCAUGAUGAGCAGGAAUCCCAUGACAUCCACAGCAGACGCACCACAGCUCUACAAGCCUUGCCUGUAUAUCUGCGUGAUGAUGCGACAGAAUUAUUCAGGACCUGCACAGAUGAUUCUGAUGAACCUGACCUCGAUGGUGUUGCUCUGGGCCUUCUCACCUUCGCCAACAAUGAUGCAGG